rnacentral:rRNA from 1 species
AAUGAACGUUGGCGGCGUGGAUUAGGCAUGCAAGUCGUGCGGCAGCAGGCCCGCAAGGGCGCUGGCGAGCGGCGAAAGGGAGAGGAACACGCGGGUACCUACCCUCAGGACCGGGAUAGCUGCGGGAAACUGCAAUUAAUACCGGACAAUGUCUCCGGACCAAAGGUGUGAUUCCGCCGGAGGAGGGGCCCACGGCCUAUCAGCUAGUUGGAGAGGUAACGGCUCACCAAGGCGACGACGGGUACGGGGUGUGAGAGCAUGCCCCCGCUCACUGGGACUGAGACACUGCCCAGACACCUGCGGGUGGCUGCGGUCGAGAAUCGUCCGCAAUGGGCGAAAGCCUGACGGAGCGACGCCGCGUGCGGGAUGAAGGCCUUCGGGUUGUAAACCGCUGUCAGUGGGGAGGAAAUUCACGGGGGUUCUCCCCUGUGUUUGACCGAUCCGCAGAGGAAGCACAGGCUAAGUUCGUGCCAGCCGCCGCCGUAAUAC